rnacentral:rRNA from 1 species
GGGCCCGCACAAGCGGUGGAGCAUGUGGUUUAAUUCGAUGAUACGCGAGGAACCUUACCAGGACUUAAAUGUAAGUUGCAUGAUUCAGAAAUGGAUCUUUCUUCGGACUACUUACAAGGUGCUGCAUGGUUGUCGUCAGCUCGUGCCGUGAGGUGUCAGGUUAAGUCCUAUAACGAGCGCAACCCCUAUCGUUAGUUGCCAUCAAGUAAAGUUGGGAACUCUAGCGAAACUGCCGGUGCAAACCGUGAGGAAGGUGGGGAUGACGUCAAAUCAUCACGGCCCUUACGUCCUGGGCCACACACGUGCUACAAUGGUCAGUACAGAAAGCAGCCACGUCGCAAGGCGGAGCGAA